GAUGAACGCUGGCGGCGUGCUCAACACAUGCAAGUCGAACGGAAAGGCUCCUGCUUGCAGGGGUACUCGAGUGGCGAACGGGUGAGUAACACGUGGGUGAUCUGCCCUGCACUUCGGGAUAAGCCUGGGAAACUGGGUCUAAUACCGGAUAGGACGAUGGUUUGGAUGCCAUUGUGGAAAGUUUUUCGGUGUGGGAUGAGCUCGCGGCCUAUCAGCUUGUUGGUGGGGUAAUGGCCUACCAAGGCGUCGACGGGUAGCCGGCCUGAGAGGGUGUACGGCCACAUUGGGACUGAGAUACGGCCCAGACUCCUACGGGAGGCAGCAGUGGGGAAUAUUGCACAAUGGGCGCAAGCCUGAUGCAGCGACGCCGCGUGGGGGAUGACGGCCUUCGGGUUGUAAACUCCUUUCGCUAGGGACGAAGCGCAAGUGACGGUACCUGGAGAAGAAGCACCGGCUAACUACGUG
rnacentral:rRNA from 1 species